UGCACCGGGUAAGAAGGUCAUUUACAGCCAGCCCAGUGCUCGCAGUGAGGGAGAAUUCAAACAGACCUCGUCAUUCCUGGUGUGACCUGCUGGGGCUCAUCUCAUGUCCACUUGCCUUACUCAGGUGCUACAAGUUCCAGCCCCUGCUGGCUGUAGCUGCACUGGAUGCCUUCAAUGUCUUCUAGGUCCCCCGGGACCCCUUGCUUUUAUUCUAGCUAGGAUAUGAAUUUAAUAACAUCAGCUACUUCUCCCUCCUCUUUCCCGCCCUCCCUCCUUUCCUUACCACCAUUGCGUGGCCUGAGACUAGUUACAAAGUUUUCAUUCCCCAUUCCUAUGUGGGAUUGGACAAGAGUCCUAGACUAGGCAGUAAUAAUGACUGGGCUGACAGGAGCCCAAAACCACUACCUGCCUGUAAAGGCCUCUCCAUAAGGACUUUGAGCCUAGCUUCCCAGCUUUCCUCCCCGGGCGGAGUGCCAGUUGCUCUAGAGUGGGGACUGGAGGAAGAUGGGCUGAGGCAUUUGAUGGUGACCUCAGGUGUCUAGCCUCUGGAGCCUGCUCUUUGUCUCAAAAUGUGCCACUGGGAUUCUCCUGGAUACAAGUAAACUGACACCGUGUCCGAACAAGGUGGGAGAGCUCGGUUAACUCCCAAGAGACUUGGAGUGAGAAAGAUUUAAAGCGAUCUAAAGAAAAGGCUGGAACUGGUGGCUGUUAGUCACUUCAUUUGGCUGGAACUACUGCCCAGACCCUUGUAAGAUUUAUAUGGAUCGAGGAGAUGUGUGUGUUAAUAGUCUUGUCUCUUUGAUGGUGUGUGUGUGUGUGUGUGUGUGUGUGUGUGUGUGGAGAGAGAGAGAGAGAGAGAGAGAGAGAGAGAGAGAGAGAGAUUCUAUAUUGAAAUUGAUUGUUAUAUAGAAGGGCUUUCUAGCUCUUUGGCAAGGUUGUGUUUAUAUUUGACAGAUGUUGCUGGAAAUAAAAACUUGAUUUGACA
rnacentral:lncRNA from 1 species